rnacentral:rRNA from 1 species
UACGAAGGGGGGCUAGCGUUGCUCGGAAUCACUGGGCGUAAAGGGUGCGUAGGCGGGUCUUUAAGUCAGGGGUGAAAUCCUGGAGCUCAACUCCAGAACUGCCUUUGAUACUGAAGAUCUUGAGUCCGGGAGAGGUGAGUGGAACUGCGAGUGUAGAGGUGAAAUUCGUAGAUAUUCGCAAGAACACCAGUGGCGAAGGCGGCUCACUGGCCCGGUACUGACGCUGAGGAGCGAAAGUGUGGGGAGCGAACAGG